UACGUAGGGUGCAAGCGUUGUCCGGAAUUAUUGGGCGUAAAGAGCUCGUAGGCGGUUUGUCGCGUCUGCUGUGAAAACUCAGGGCUUAACCCUGAGCCUGCAGUGGGUACGGGCAGACUAGAGUGUGGUAGGGGAGAUCGGAAUUCCUGGUGUAGCGGUGAAAUGCGUAGAUAUCAAGAGGAACACCUGAGGUGAAGACGGGUUGCUGGGCUGACACUGACGCUGAAGCGCGAAAGCUAGGGGAGCAAACGGG
rnacentral:rRNA from 1 species